AAAACCAAAAACAUCCGCGAGUGGUGGU
rnacentral:sRNA from 1 species